rnacentral:lncRNA from 10 species
AGGACAGAUAAAGCUCUGGCCAAGGCCUUAUUCUUGCUAUUUGCUGAUUUAUUUGUUCAAUGCUGGUCUCCCACACUAGACCAUGAGCAGGAAGGAGAGGCAGCAUGCAACUGUGCUCGUUGUCUACACAGGGCCUAGCACUGGGCCUGGGCCAGGGCAGGCACCUGGGAGAUUGCUGCAAGAGAGAAGGUCACCUAUCUCCCCAGGUAGCCUCUCUCACCCUGACAAUGUAUCUUCACAGUACAGCCAUCCAGUGUCAGACUCAUGAACUUCAGAAGCAGAAGCCUGAAGAUGAGCUUUGGAGUCACUGUCACAGCAACAAGCCAACUGGCAUGCAGAAAUGAAGAGACUCACUCAAAUGAGGGACCUAAAUCCCUUCUAUGGUCAAUGAGAAACAGAGGCCCAUGAAAGGGAAAGGCCAGAUACACCCUCACACAAGGAAGUGGUGGCAGAGCCAGGCCCAGACAGCAGAGAUCUCAAAGGUCCCCAUUUUCAAUGUUGUGUUUCUUCCAUACUGUCAUUUCAAAAGAGCCAUUUAAGGCUGGGACACUCUGGUCCCACUCAAAAAAAACAACAACAAAUCAUUAAACUUUCAACUUUUAAAAAACUACCAAACAGGUUGCAAAACACUUUCUUAUCCUACACCUGG